AACGUAGUAGGCAAGCGUUAUCCGGAUUUACUGGGCGUAAAGGGCUCGUAGGCGGCCAACUAAGUCAGACGUGAAAUCCCUAGGCUCAACCUAGGAACUGCGUCUGAUACUGGAUGGCUUGAAUCCGGGAGAGGGAUGCAGAAUUCCAGGUGUAGCGGUGAAAUGCGUAGAUAUCUGGAGGAAUACCGGUGGCGAAGGCGGCGUUCUGGACUGCAACUGACACUGAUGAACGAAAGCCAGGGGAGCAAACGGG
rnacentral:rRNA from 1 species